rnacentral:lncRNA from 1 species
GGGGGGAGGAAUGGAAAGAGGAAGAGAAGGAGGGAGACAGGGAGGGAGAGAGGGAUGGAAGGAGGGAGAAAGAUAGAGAGAGAGAGAGAGAGAGACUUUACAGAACUGGAAUACAUGGAAUAUAUUUUCUACUUACAGGAAAAAGUAUUGAGUAAGUGGUAGUAUUGCUAAAGAGGAAAUGGGAGUCAUUUACAGAUAAAGGUUAAUAUUUUAUACCAAAACACACCAGGACAUUUAGAAAGAGGGAAAUAAUAACAUUGGGAAGAAAUUGUAGGGUUUCCCAGUAAAAGCGGUAUUUUCCCAUGACACCUGGCUCUUUAAAGGUUAAGAGGACUUACUGAUGGCUCAGAGCUUAUGCUAAAAUGGACUUAAAUACAUUUCUGGGACGUGGUCCUAGAAGAGAAUUCCAGCUUUAUUUCAGUCAGAGAGGAAAGGAUUAGGUAUUCCUGAUUUAGAGCAUUCCUGUCUAUGAAGGGGCUGUGAGUGAACAAGGAGAAGCUGGUUUCUUUCUGGAGAUGACAUCGGGAAGGACUUCUAUAUGAAGACAUGUGUGGCAGGCUGCUGCAGAAGCCCUGGGGGUGUAGCCCGGAAGAAAGGAGUCACAGGCCUGUUCAUUUUCAGUGGGCUUGGCAGACACAGAGUUGGGGUGGAGAGAGGUGGAAGGCAGGGACGCUGGCGAGGACACCAUUGCAUUAGUGCAGAGGACACGUGCCAACGGCCCUAACUAUGACAAUGGAGUGAAGAGGAGAUGAAAAGGAGAUUCAAGAAAAUUUAUGGACUGCCAUUGACAGAACCUGAUAACUUUUUGGCUCUGAGCAUAGAGACAUUGGGAAACGAAAACGGCUCCAAAAUCUCUCAUGAAUCCUCAAGGAGAUUGCUGUGUGAUGUGAUCAUUAUCAAAAUCUGGGAGAAUGAAGAAGGAAGGGAUAUCUGAGGACCUCUUCACCUCUCGUGUGGAAUGUGGCCUCACUAGCCCAGCAAAUCCACUAUCAAUAGAAAACAGAUAAUUCCCCCAAAGAUAACCCAAGAGCUAUUAAAUAAAUGGUCAUGGGGUUUAAAAAAAUACAAUAUCUACUACAGGGGCGCCAGGGUGGCUCAGUCGGUUAAGUGUUGGACUCUUGAUUUCAGCUCAGGUCAUGACCUUAGGGUUGUGAGAUGGAGCCACACAUCGGGCCCUGUGGUCAGUAGGGAGUCUGCCUGAGAUUCUUUCUCCUUCCCUUUCCCUCUGCCGCUCCCCACUAUGCACUUUCUCAUAUCAAUCAACAAAUGAGUCAAUCAAUCAAUCUUAAAAAAAUACAGCAUCUGGGAAGCCCAGGUGGCUCAGUGUUUUAGAGCCGCCUUCAGCCCAGGGCGUGAUCCUGGAGACCCGGGAUCAUGUCCCACAUCGGGCUCCCUGCAUGGAGACUGCUUCUCCCUCUGCCUGAGUCUCUGCCUCUCUCUCUCUCUCUCUCUCUCUCUGUCUCUCAUGAAUAAAUAAAUAAAAUCUUUUAAAAAAAUACAGUAUCUACCAUAGUGUCAUUUGAAAUAAGAAUGCUAUCCUGGGGUCAUUGAUAAAUAGGUAGUACGUGAAUGGUCUUGGAUGCUGAGGCUGAGAAUGGUGGUGAUGUUGAUAAUGUUGAUGGAAAGCUUUUUUAAGAUGACAGACAACUGUCCAUCCAUCAGGAUAGCCC